GACUGACCAAGAAUACAACCUCGAGCUUUAGCUAUGGAGCUAAAACGGACGACAUUUUGAAUAUGCGAUCGGUUAAUACUUAGACACGGGAGACUACACUUACUUUUACCUCGAGUGAAACCGUCGUAACGAAGCCAAACGACCUAAAAUGCGAGUGAUAUAACGAGGAGCGAUUGUUGUUACAGAAAAAAACAAACAAACAAAAAACACACACAACGGAUCAGGAAACAAUAAGUGCUAGCGCGCGCGCGCACACAUACACACAAAACAAAGCGUCGUUGGAGACGGCGGAUUUGUGUAGAUUUGUCUAAAAAGUAUAAUCAUGUCAUCGUCAAUCUCUCUCUCUCUCUCACACACACACACACACACAGGUUCACUGCUCUGUCCCGCUGAACAAUAGACUCCGACACGGAGUCACACAUCCACACAGCGACAUGUUUCUGUUAAGAUUUUUUCCCCCCAAAAAAAUCCGAAUCUAAAAUGGACGAAACAAACUAAAGUAAGAGCUUCUUUGUUUACUCCGCAUAUGUAAAGAGGUAUAAAAACGUCUAACGACUCGCCACAACAAAACUCCCUCCUCCUCCUCCUCCUCCUCCUCCUCCCUCUUCUUCAUUCCCCCGUUAACUAUCUAUCCCACUGCACACAGAGCAGUUUGAAAUAAAACACUGAGGACGUUUCAGGACACACCAACAACACCUUCGGCUCAGAGGAAAACAACAACACCACCACCACCGACGUUUUCUAUCAGUGUGAACGCGUGUAUUGGGCAGAGGCUCUUGACUAGCCACCUUGCUGUUGUCUUAGCAGCUUUAAUUUGUCGUUUCCGAGCACAAAUCGACCACAGACGCCGUGUCAUAGCUCCCUGAUCAGUUCUAUACACUAUUCGCGUUCGAAAUCAUAUAUAAUGUACAUUUAAUUUUUCUUCUCCAGCUGUUACGUACCUAGGAAAAAGAAGCCUCUUACUCCGGAUUCGUGUUUGUAACAAAAUCGUUGGACACGCCCAUCUGUCUUCUGAUUGGUCUACAAGGUCGUUGACGUCAUCGCAACUCAAAUAUGACCCGCCAAAUACUGACAAGACAGUAGCACUGAGGAUGGAAACUCACUCUCGAAUUGAUCAACCGGUGAAAUUGUUCAAAUUUAUGCUUUCUGUUUCAUCCAGAUCCUCGGGCUCUAAGUUCUAAUGCUUCUUUCAGGCCUUGGAUUCACCAGGAUCUCCAUUUUCCCCACAUUCUUGGUUCCUCCAAGUUUUGAUGUUUCUUACAGCAAGACAGUUCCCAGUGCCUGUAUAGCUCCAUGGAUAUACAGUGUGGAGGUUACAGUUGGAGUGAAGAACUCGAGUGUUCUGCAUAGAGCCCGGACUCUGACUCAACCUCACCGAAAUCCUUUAGGAUGAACCGGAACUGAAUCUGAGACCUCCUCACUCUUACAUCAUCAGUGUCUGAUCUCUCUAAUGCUCAAUGAUACAAAAUCUAGUGAAAAGUCUUCAAGAAUGGUGGAGCUUGUUUUAAAAGUAAAGGGGAAAUAAAUCUGGAAGGAAAUGUUCAACAAGUA